GACUGAUGAUUGUUAGGGAAAUUUCAGAGCAUACUUAUAAAUCUCUCCCAAGCUUGGUAGAUAUUCUCUUCUUUUUUCUGUCUAAAACUCAAAAUUUUGCUUCUCAAACU
rfam:Capsicum annuum cultivar Zunla-1 chromosome 5, whole genome shotgun sequence